rnacentral:tRNA from 1 species
GGCUCCAUGCUCAGUGGUUAGAGCACUAGUCUUGUAAACCAGGGGUCAUGAGUUUGAUCCUUGCUGGGGCCU